rnacentral:rRNA from 1 species
GACGAACGCUGGCGGCGUGCUUAACACAUGCAAGUCGAACGGAAAGGCCCUGCUUUUGUGGGGUGCUCGAGUGGCGAACGGGUGAGUAACACGUGAGUAACCUGCCCUUGACUUUGGGAUAACUUAAGGAAACUGGGGCUAAUACCGGAUAGGAGCUCCUGCUGCAUGGUGGGGGUUGGAAAUUUUCGGCGGUUGGGGAUGGACUCGCGGCUUAUCAGCUUGUUGGUGGGGUAGUGGCUUACCAAGGCUUUGACGGGUAGCCGGCCUGAGAGGGUGACCGGCCACAUUGGGACUGAGAUAAGGCACAGACUGCUACGGGUGGCAGCAGUGGGGAAUAUUGCACAAGGGGCGGAAGCCUGAUGCAGCAACGCCGCGUGCGGGAUGACGGCCUUCGGGGUGUAAACCGCUUUCGCCUGUGACGAAGCGUGAGUGACGGUAAUGGGUAAAGAAGCACCGGCUAACUACGUG